CCCUUCCGUAGGUGAACCUGCGGAAGGAUCAUUACCGAGUGCGGGCUGCCUCCGGGCGCCCAACCUCCCACCCGUGACUACCUAACACUGUUGCUUCGGCGGGGAGCCCCCCAGGGGCGAGCCGCCGGGGACCACUGAACUUCAUGCCUGAGAGUGAUGCAGUCUGAGCCUGAAUACAAAUCAGUCAAAACUUUCAACAAUGGAUCUCUUGGUUCCGGCAUCGAUGAAGAACGCAGCGAACUGCGAUAAGUAAUGUGAAUUGCAGAAUUCAGUGAAUCAUCGAGUCUUUGAACGCACAUUGCGCCCCCUGGCAUUCCGGGGGGCAUGCCUGUCCGAGCGUCAUUGCUGCCCUCAAGCCCGGCUUUGUGUGUUGGGUCGUCGUCCCCCCCGGGGGACGGGCCCGAAAGGCAGCGGCGGCACCGUGUCCGGUCCUCGAGCGUAUGGGGCUUUGUCACCCGCUCGAUUAGGGCCGGCCGGGCGCCAGCCGGCGUCUCCAACCUUAUUUUUCUCAGGUUGACCUCGGAUCAGGUAGGGAUACCCGCUGAACUUAAGCAUAUCAAUAAGCGGAGGAACAUUACUU
rnacentral:misc_RNA from 1 species